ensembl:lncRNA
CUACCACCUCUACCAAAUCCCUCAACAACGUAUUAUUAUUUUUUAUUUUUAUGCUUUUUGAGUAGCAUUGCUGUCACUCCAAUCACUUCACUUCAACCUUUUGAAGAAGUGCGGAUCUCUCAAUCAUGAGUAUGGAAACUCAGAGAAUGUUGGAGAAGUCCUGUGUCUUACUGGGCAAAUUGCCCUGGUACCUUCCACAAUGAAAUUUGUUCGUGGUGGAAUACAAACAAAAGCUACUCUGUCCUUAAGCCAUACCCUGAAAAUCCUGGAAGCUACACAUGGAGGCACCAGCCUUCAGCACACUUUCAUGGCUCACUGUUACGAAAUGUUAUGUUAAUGAACAGCCAGCUCACUUCCACUGCUCUGGAUACCUGGCAGAACUUCAAGACCCAUUAAAAGCGCAGGUGUUUUCUGAUCCAGUGAGAAGUUCUUGAAAAAUGAGAAGAAAGAGAGGUUUAAUUGUAACAUGGAUACAUUUUGGACUGGAUGCCAGCCACUUGAAUAAGGUAUGUGCGUUUAAGCAUAAAAACUGACUGUAUUUUCCUUUUCUUAUUUGAACAUGCAAAACCUUUUAUUUUCAUAAUCAAGGACAAAUGUAUUUCAUA